rnacentral:rRNA from 1 species
UCUUAGUGGCGGACGGGUGAGUAACGCGUGGGUAACCUGCCCCAUACCGGGGGAUACCACCUGGAAACAGGUGCUAAUACCGCAUAAGCGCACGGGAGCGCAUGCUCCUGUGUGAAAAACUCCGGUGGUAUGGGAUGGACCCGCGUCUGAUUAGCCAGUUGGCAGGGUAACGGCCUACCAAAGCGACGAUCAGUAGCCGGCCUGAGAGGGUGAACGGCCACAUUGGGACUGAGACACGGCCCAAACUCCUACGGAAGGCAGCAG